rnacentral:lncRNA from 1 species
GGGGCAGUCUUGAGAGGUUUUGUCUUCUGGUUUAUUCAAGCCCUGGGUGCCUCACUUCUCGGUCCCAGUGGGCUGGCGGGACCACCGCAGCGCCCAGUCCCUAAGAGUAGGCCAACUGCGGCUGGUUGGAAAUAGGGGAAGACUAGGAAGGAUGCAGACAUCUGACAAUACCCGAUCUGGGGGCCCUAACCAGCCUUGCCUUGCACAGCAGUCCCAAGCCAACCGAUGCCCUAAUUCUGCUGCCAACUUGUCUCUCAAGGUAUCUGCAACCCUCUCUUGCUCUCUAAGUAGCAAAUGGUCAGCCAACUUUCCGGAGAUGGAGAGAAGACGCUGGGGAAGGUGGAGAAGAAUCAUCCCCAAUGCUGAACCCCGGCUAGAUUCUCCACUGCCUGGGACUCUGCUGGGCCGGUUGCUUCCACAAACCUACUCCCCACUACCCCUUCACCCCCCGCCCGGUAGCCUCCCCACAAGCCAGCCUGCCCCCAACCAGCCCUGGAUGCCUGAUCCCAGUCAAUGCAGUCCUGUUGAUGGCCUGAGAGACCACCAAAUAGCUGACAAGCCCCCUGACCCUCAGGCUUCAGGGCCCCCUAGCACACUGAACAAAUGGCGGAAAACCAGCAACUAGUUGCCCUCUGCCACCCUCUCGACCUGUAGCCCUCACCCUCCAUCAGGCCCUUGGGACUCAGAAUCCACGCUGGGCCCCUUUCUCUUAUUCAAAUUCGCCCUCUAUGUCCCCACAGGGAGUGUCUCCGGCCUUGGGGCUCCUGGAGGGACCCUGAGCGUGGUGGGGCUUAGCUACCCUGCACAAUGCCACUCAACUUCGCCCCAGAAAGAACCGCUAUGCCGCCAUCCGCCACCCCUCCCCACCAACGACGCUUAGGAGUAUUGUAAUUAUUAUGGUUAUUGUUGUUGCUAUUUCCUUAUCCCCAAGUCAAAUAUUCAUGGCUGCCGUUCCCCAUAAAUCGUUCAGACUAAUGAGUCACAAAGAGAUGUUGCCCAGGUCUCUUUCCCUCUGCAAUGGCCGCCGCCGCCGCCGCCACCGCCGCCGUGGCCUCUCUCUCGGCGUUUUUGGCGCUCGCUUGCUCCCUCGCUCGCCCGGCGCGG